rnacentral:misc_RNA from 1 species
UCCAUAGGUCAGUGAGAGAGGACGCUCCCUGCUCCUCUUCUUCUGCUCUCCCCACACCUGAGAGACCGAGAGAGAGAGAGAGAAAGAGAGUGAGAACUGAUCACUAACCCACUCAAAAACCCACAGAAUCCUGUAAUCCCCGGAAAUCCCACUUAUAAAGGAUCCGAUUCUCCUUUUGUGGGGAUUGAGAAGCGGAAAUCCUAAAUAUCCUACAUUUCUUGGUUACAGAAAAGGAUUAGAUGUCAUUUAUCCAUCCUGACGUGAAUAGGAUUACCUGAGGAUUGCCUUAAGUGGGAUUCUAAAGAGGAUUUAAGGCUGUGUAUGGAUUCUGACGCUCUAAAAAGGUGGAUUUAGAGGAUUAGUGUUUGUGUGAGUCCUCCUCGUGAAUCACUUUAUAGAAAACGGAGAGUGGAAGUGUGGAGGGAGUCUUUACACUAAUCCACCUCUUAGGUUCGAAAACUUCUAUUUGUUGGUUUUGGACAGCGUUGGAUUGGUCAUGAAGAGUUGGCGCGAAGCAGUAAUGGUGAUGGUGGUGGUGCUGGUGGCGGCGGCGGCCGAGCCCUGCGCCGCCGCCGCCCACAGGUCUGUGCACCGGCGCCAGGCUGCCGCGCCCUCUCCCGCCAUGGACUCCUUCCUGGCGGGGCUGGGCGACGGGGACAACACAGUGCUGGGCAGCCUCCUGCAGCUAGGCACGGAGGAUCUGGACUUGUGGGACCCGCUGCUGCAGCCAGGCACACCGCGGCGCCCCGCCCUGCACCAGCCGCAGCCCCCAGGCCCACCACAGCCCCCGCCACAGCACAACCACACACAGCAGCAGCAGCAGCAGGGGGCCAGUGGGAUGUCAGCCGGCCAGGCCACCGCCGCAGUGGGCGCACUGAUGCGGCAGCUGCAUAACAUGACCUUCCUGCCCCUGGUGCCACGGGAGGGCGACCCGCCCCACGCCCACGGCGACGACCCGCUGCUGCUGCAGUACCUGGACGCCGUGCGAGGCGACGCGUGGGCGCAGUUCAAGAGCCUGGCGGUGGGGUACAGCAGCUGGCUGGAGCACGAGUACAGCCUGCAGCACCUCACCGCCGCGCUGCCCCUGGACCUCGUCAAGAAGGUUCUGGACCUCGGGGACCGCGUCAACUUCUUGCGCGUGGUGGGACGCCGCGUGGACCCCGGUCUGGCUGCCUUCCUGGCCGACAAAAUGCAGCCGCUGUUCGACCACUUCAGCCAGCUGGCGGCGGGGCGAAUGGUGGGCGGCAGCCUGGCCAACGCGGUGGGCGGCGUGGUGCGCGACGCCGCCUGGAAGACGCUGCGGCAGUUUGUGGAUCACGUGCUUAGUGUGGCGGGCGGCGUCGUGACGCGGGAGGAGAUUGAACACUUCCGCGAGGACCUGGCCAAGACCAGCCCCCUGGCGGCGCGCGGCCUGCAGAUGCUGCUGGACGGCCCGCCACCAGAGGAGGGGGUGGGGGAGGAGGAGGAAGAGGAAGCCGAGGGACGCUCCAUCUCCAGGAACGGUUAUCGAGACUACCACGACGGCGGGUACGGCGGCCACGGGGCCUAUGACGACUCGUACGGCACGUACGGCGGCGUGUCGCAGGGCUACUCCUCGGGGGGGUACGCCGCGGGGGUGCACAUGGACCCGUACCUCAUCCUGGCGGGGCUGGGCGCCGCCGUGCUGCUGGCCUACCUGGCCUACCGCGUGCUGGUCACCACGGAGGCAGGUGGGGAUGGCAGGAGCCUGCUGGACGACCUGGCGCUGCGGGACCUGUCUGACACGCCCGUGGUGCUGCACUCCCUGCACAGCUUGCUGGACGACGCUGAGCGCAAGUACGACACCAAACGGUCCGCGCCGCGCGACGACAUGGAUGACUUCACUGACGCCCUCAACGACCUGUGGUACCAACACCAGGCGGCGGACGGCUGCGUGCGCUGCGCCCUCUUCGACGCCAUGCUGGACUAUGCUCACGUGGGCAGCGCCUCCACCUCCGUGCCCGCACUGGCCGUGUCGUGGCUGGCUCACCUGCUGGGCGCCGAGAGGUCAGGCCAGCUGGUGGACCAGGUGGUGGGCCAGGUGGUGGAAGGACAGCCCGUGACUUGCCGCCGCCACCAACACACCUGUGACCUCAAGUGACCUGUGUGUGUGUGUGUGUGUGUGUGUGUGUGUGUGUGUGUGUGUGUGUGUGUGUGUGUGUGUGUGUGUGUGUGCGUGUG